rnacentral:rRNA from 1 species
AUUGAACGCUGGCGGCAGGCCUAACACAUGCAAGUCGAGCGAGCGGCGGACGGGUGAGUAAUGUAUGGGGACUGCCCGAUAGAGUUGGAUAACUACUUGAAACGGUAGCUAAUUCCGCAUACUAUCGGAUAACCCAUAGGGGAUUAGCUAGUAGGUGAGGUAAUGGCUCACCGAGGCGACGAUCCCUAGCUGGUCUGAGAGGAUGAUCAGCCAAACUGGGACUGAGACACGGCCCAGACGCCUACGGAGGCAGCAGUGGGGAAUAGGGCACAAUGGGCGAAAGCCUGAUGCAGCCAUGCCGCGUGUAUGAAGAAGGCCCUAGGGUUGUAAAGUACUUUCAGUCGGGAGGCGGUACCGACAGAAGAAGCACCGGCUAACUCCGUGCCAGCAGCCGCGGUAAUUC